rnacentral:rRNA from 1 species
UAAAGUGGCGUACGGGUGAGUAACACGUGGAUCAUCUACCUCUUUGUGGGGGAGUAACCCUGGGAAACCGGGGCUAAUACCGCAUAAGCCUGUAAAGGGAAAGCAGCAAUGCGCAGAGAGAGGAGUCCGCGGCUGAUUAGCUAGUUGGUGAGGUAACGGCCCACCAAGGCAAUGAUCGGUAGCCGGCCUGAGAGGGCACACGGCCACACUGGCACUGAAACACGGGCCAG